UACGGGGGGAGCAAACGUUGUUCGGAUUUACUGGGCGUAAAGCGUGUGUAGGCGGCUUCGUAAGUUGGAUGUGAAAUCCCACGGCUCAACCGUGGACGUGCAUCCAAAACUACGUCGCUGGAGUCUCGGAGAGGAAGGUGGAAUGCUUGGUGUAGAGGUGAAAUUCGUAGAUAUCAAGCAGAACGCCUGCGGCGAAGGCGGCCUUCUGGACGAUGACUGACGCUGAGACACGAAAGCGUGGGGAGCAAACAGG
rnacentral:rRNA from 1 species